rnacentral:lncRNA from 1 species
AUGUGAUGUUGGCUUAAAAGUCCGAAGAUUGGUAUCUCUGUUUAUUCAAUAGAAAAGAUAUUAAUUUAAAGAAAUUGGAUUGCCUUGCAGAAGCGCUAAGUUUAGUAUCUUCAAUCAGACAAAAUAUUGUAAGUAAAUUAAUCGGGAUAAGUUGGUUCAUAGAGAACCAUGGCUUCGUUAAUAGAUUCUUUGGAUAGUUUCAAGAAUGAUUUUAGUCUCUAACCAUUAACUUUAAACAUAGCACUAUUGCUUGA